GGAUUAGUGGCGAACGGGUGAGUAACACGUGAGUAACCUGCCCUUAACUCUGGGAUAAGCCUGGGAAACUGGGUCUAAUACCGGAUAUGACUCCUCAUCGCAUGGUGGGGGGUGGAAAGCUUUUUUGUGGUUUUGGAUGGACUCGCGGCCUAUCAGCUUGUUGGUGAGGUAAUGGCUCACCAAGGCGACGACGGGUAGCCGGCCUGAGAGGGUGACCGGCCACACUGGGACUGAGACACGGCCCAGACUCCUACGGGAGGCAGCAGUGGGGAAUAUUGCACAAUGGGCGCAAGCCUGAUGCAGCGACGCCGCGUGAGGGAUGACGGCCUUCGGGUUGUAAACCUCUUUCAGUAGGGAAGAAGCGAAAGUGACGGUACCUGCAGAAGAAGCGCCGGCUAACUACGUGCCAGCAGCCGCGGUAAUACGUAGGGCGCAAGCGUUAUCCGGAAUUAUUGGGCGUAAAGAGCUCGUAGGCGGUUUGUCGCGUCUGCCGUGAAAGUCCGGGGCUCAACUCCGGAUCUGCGGUGGGUACGGGCAGACUAGAGUGAUGUAGGGGAGACUGGAAU
rnacentral:rRNA from 1 species